rnacentral:rRNA from 1 species
CAGUAGCCGCGGGAAUACGUAGGGUGCAAGCGUUAAUCGGAAUUACUGGGCGUAAAGCGUGCGCAGGCGGUUAUAUAAGACAGAUGUGAAAUCCCCGGGCUCAACCUGGGAACUGCAUUUGUGACUGUAUAGCUAGAGUAUGGCAGAGGGGGGUGGAAUUCCGCGUGUAGCAGUGAAAUGCGUAGAUAUGCGAAGGAACACCGAUGGCGAAGGCAGCCCCCUGGGCCAAUACUGACGCUCAUGCACGAAAGCGUGGGGAGCAAACAGGAUUAGAUACCCGCGUAGUCCCUGUCUCUUAUAC